UCGUCAUUUCGGAAUCUAGCCUGUGGUUUCAUUCCGAUUGAAAUUCGGCCAGUUGGAGCUGGAAAAUUUUGCGUAAAGCUCUAAAAAAAAUUACACAAAAUGUGAAUAAUUUGUAAUUUUAAUCCAAUGGUUCAAUGGCAAGGCGGAUGAGAUUUUAAUUGACUGCGCCUAGCACAGCUCUCGAUCGGAAUCAUCGAUGGUCAAUCAUCAGAGUAUAUCCGGUAUUGGCAAAGUUCCCCUGCAAAAGAUAAAAGUAGCUGAAUUUAUAGGCACACAGGCGUAAAGAUCUCACGGCUCAAAUCUCCGAAGUUUAAAUGUUAGAAGUUCGUUAUCCUAUUUAAUCAAACUAAAAAGGAUCGGGAAUAUUGUCCCUAUCUGAAGUCCCCCAGUCCCACAUAUUUAGUUUUCUCACCCGAUCUGGGCGAUUCAAUCCAUUUUCACAUCAACUGUAGUUUCUAUGGCCAUAAUAUAAUCCUUACUAUACUAAAAAUCGGA